UUUUUGCCCUAGGACCUCCGGUAUGUUUGAGCCGGCCCUGGUUCUCUGACAUCAGCAAUGGAGUUUCCAGAGACUGAGUGGCUCAAAUCGAGAAGAGUUUUUUUGUUGGUCUUCAGUCGCGACGUUUAGUCUUCUGUUAUUAUCAACCGACGAGUUACAGAUUCUUCUCCUUUAUUGCCUUCUUAACGCCAUAGACCGACGUGAAGCAUGAUCUGAUAUUGAAUGCAACUUAUCCCUCUGCAAGGCGGUGUAUCUACACCUAUAAAAAGUCCGACUGCUGCUCCUCCAUGGUUGAAGUGCGAUUACACUGAUGAAAUUUCAGUUGAAGAGGAAACGUCAAUGCUUUGGUCAAAAGGUUCGAUAUCAGAGCAGCAGCCACGAGUGAAAAGAUAAUUUGUGUGUGGCGUUAAUCCAGAUGCGUCUACUAGAGCUUGAAAACUCAUCUAAUCUGAAAUAUACUAAGGAUUAUCUAAGGAGUCUAAUGUUAUUGCUACGAACCUUAGCAAGAAUGUGAAACCUUGCUGUCUCAGGUUUACUGAACUACGAGAACAAGGAAGAGCAUGACUGCUGCCAUUCAUGUGAGGAUGUUCGUGACACAUUUAGAAACAAAGGUUGGGGUGUUACAAAUCCAGAUUUGAUUGACCAGAGUAUCCCCUAGCUGAUCACUGAGAAAACGGUUACCAUCCUCACUUGAUUGCUCUUGAGCAAGGUAAUCAUCGUCCAUCGAUUAUUCUAUUGUAUCCAUCCUAUCAAAAACACACAAUAAUCAUUGAGGGAUUGAGGUGACAAACGUGGCCAUAGCGUCGUUGGAAAUGCGGGAGUGAAGUUAGCCACAUUGCAGCUGGUGUACAUGGAGAAUUGCAAUUACCUUACUGUCGAUUUCUUCAAGAAGCUUCUCCGGCUCCGAGAGUGCCCAUUGUUUUUCUCGGUUGUGGUCAGUGGCUGAGGCACAGAAGAGACUUCUAGGUUAUUUAAUUUUUCUGAGAUGUUCUGCCUGGGGAGUGGGAAGACAUCAUGCCGUAUCGUUUUAUUACAACAACACAGUUUGUUCUGCUGUCUCUGUCUGUAUUCACUUUUGACCAUUACCUUAUAUGCAUGCGCUCAAACAUAUCAACGAUAUUUUUUAGUUACGUAGA